GUAAAUAUAGUUUAAAAAAAAACAUUAGAUUGUGAAUCUAACAAUAGAAGCCUAUCACCUUCUUAUUUACC
ensembl:Mt_tRNA